rnacentral:rRNA from 1 species
UACGUAGGGUGCAAGCGUUGUCCGGAAUUAUUGGGCGUAAAGAGCUCGUAGGCGGUCUGUCGCGUCGGAUGUGAAAACCCAGGGCUCAACCCUGGGCCUGCAUUCGAUACGGGCAGACUAGAGUUCGGUAGGGGAGACUGGAAUUCCUGGUGUAGCGGUGAAAUGCGUAGAUAUCUGGAGGAAUACCGGUGGCGAAGGCGGCAUCCUGGACCGGCAUUGACGCUGAGUGAGCGAAAGCCAGGGGAGCAAACGGG